GCCUGGAUAGCUCAGUUGGUUAGAGUGUGGUGCUGAUAACGCCAAGGUUGUAGCUUCGAUCCCCGUAUUAUUUAUACU